UCGAUUAAACGUUUUAAGGUGUCUUUGAAACGCUGCAAAAGAGUACACACGAUGGACUAACUUUAACGCCAAGUCAAAAGGAAGGAUAGGAUGAGGAUGGAGCGAAAAGGAAGGAAAAGAAAAGCAGGUGAGUAUUCUUCUUCACUCCCCAUUCAUGUCUGUAGACAGAAAAAGGAAUGCUUAAGAAUAAAGAAUGGAGUGGCCCAACUUGGGUUCUUUUUUGCUGAAUAGGUAAGAUUUCCUGUUCAAUCGAAUGAACGCAACAAUUAGCAGCAAGCGAAGGAAAUGGACAUAUAGGCAAAAAAGCCAAUGGGUUAUUCGUACGCGACUGAGACUGGAAUGAGAGAGCUGAGGCAGAGAUUGUUGUGUUGUUAUUAUCAUCAUCCAUAAUUCCUAGUUUUUGUUUCUACUCUUUUCUCUUCGGUGGGAACGGUGUGGUGGAAGAAUGGACAGGUGUGUGUUGAUGAGGCUCGUUGGCAGGAUGUGUGGAUGCUGCGAUAGAACGAACGGCUAAUUGGGUGACAUAGAGAACAAACGGAAGGGAAGCCAAGAAGAAAUGUUUUGUUUCCUUAGAAAAGGAAAGAAGGAAACAGAGGAAAGGAAGGCGAAUGAAUGAUUCAGCCGCUCUGAAUUCAAACCUUUCUGGCUUCCAAGGUCAGCGGUAAGCGAGGAAGAUGAGAUUAAAGUCAACUAAGCUAGCUAGCUGAUACCUUUAAUCAACCAAUAUUAUCUACAUUGGAAUUUUUUGUUUUUCAUCGCGAGACUAAUAUUCAUAACCUUUGUUCCGACAAGCAAAGAAGCUAAAAAAUUGUUGUCAUCUCCGUGCUUUUAUUUCUUAUUGGCCACGAAUCGCUAAGGUUCAUAAAGUCUAACCAGUUGGUAUUUAUUUAUCGGAUCAAGUUUGUGCACUCAGACCUUGUGUCGACAUCGCCAUACUUGUGACCAAAUUCAUUCGAG
rnacentral:lncRNA from 1 species